GAGAGUUUGAUCCUGGCUCAGGACGAACGCUGGCGGCGUGGAUAAGGCAUGCAAGUCGAACGGAUUUAUUUUUGUUAGCAAUAACUAAAAUGAAUUAGUGGCAGACGAGGUAGUAACACGUAGGUACGUACCCCAAAGUCGGGCAUAACUCAUCGAAAGGUGGGCUAAUUCCCGAUAUUGUCUCGAGAGUAAUCGAGGGACGAAAGGAGCAAUCCGCUUUGGGAACGGCCUGCGGGCUAUCAGCUUGUUGGUAGGGUAACGGCCUACCAAGGCGAUGACGGCUAGGGGGCGUGAGAGCGUGAUCCCCACCGACGGAACUGAGACACGGUCCGUACACCUACGGGUGGCAGCAGUCGAGAAUCUUCGACAAUGGGCGAAAGCCUGAUCGAGCGACGCCGCGUGCAGGAUGAAAUCCUUCGGGAUGUAAACUGCUUUUGGCAGGGAAAAACACAAUGAUGGUACCUGCAGAAUAAGGGCCUGCAAAUCUCGUGCCAGCAGCCGCGGUAAUACGAGAGGCCCAAGCGUUGUCCGGAGUUACUGGGCGUAAAGGGUGCGUAGGGGGUUGUGUUAGCCUCACCUUAAAUCUUCAUGCCUAACAUGAAGGCUGGGCGGGGAACGGCACAACUUGAGGGCGCGAGAGGCGAGUGGAACUCAUGGUGGAGGGGUGAAAUCCGUUGAUAUCAUGGGGAACACCAAAGGCGAAGGCAGCUCGCUGGCGCGUACCUGACCCUGAAGCACGAAAGCGUGGGGAUCAAAAAGGAUUAGAUACCCUUGUAGUCCACGCCCUAAACGAUGAUGACUAGCUAUUGGAAGUAUCGACCCUUUCAGUGGCGAAGCUAACGCGUUAAGUCAUCCGCCUGGGAAGUACGAGCGCAAGCUUAAAACUCAAAGGAAUAGACGGGGACUCGCACAAGCGGUGGAGCAUGUGGUUCAAUUCGACGGUAAACGAAGAACCUCACCAGGGCUUGAAAUUCCGACGACGAUUUUCCGAAAGGAAAAUUUUCUCACAAGGACGGCGGAACAGGUGCUGCAUGGUUGUCGUCAGUUCGUGGCUUGAGCUGUUCCCUUAAGUGGGGUAACGAACGCAACCCCCGUUGGCUGUUAUACGUGUCAGCUGAGACCGCUCCCCGCCUACGUUUAUAAAUUUUUGUAGAUGUAGGCGGGGAGAGGAAGUGGGGAUGACGCCAAAUCAGCAUGGCCCUCUGAUGCCCUGGGCUACACACGUGCUACAAUGGCCGAUACAAUGGGUUGCGAAGUCGCGAGACGGAGCCAAUCCCAUCAAAGUCGGCCCCAGUUCGGAUUGGAGUCUGCAACUCGACUCCAUGAAGUUGGAAUCGCUAGUAAUCGCAGGUCAGCUAUACUGCGGUGAAUACGUUCUCGAGUCUUGUACUCACCGCCCGUCAAGUCAGGGGAGCCGGGAGUGGCCAAAGUCGCCAGCUCGACUGGGACUACGCCAAGCUCGGUGACAAAGACUAAGUCGUAACAAGGCACGCGUAGCGGAAGCUGUGCGUGGAUUUUCUCCU
rnacentral:rRNA from 1 species